rnacentral:piRNA from 1 species
UCUCACUGAUUACUUGAUGACAG